rnacentral:rRNA from 1 species
AGAGUGAACGCUGGCGGUAGGCCUAACACAUGCAAGUCGAACGGCAGCACAGUGGUAGCAAUACCAUGGGUGGCGAGUGGCGGACGGGUGAGGAAUACAUCGGAAUCUACCUUUUCGUGGGGGAUAACGUAGGGAAACUUACGCUAAUACCGCAUACGCCCUUCGGGGGAAAGCCGGGGAUCGCAAGACCUGGCGCGGAUAGAUGAGCCGAUGUCGGAUUAGCUAGUUGGUGAGGUAAUGGCUCACCAAGGCGACGAUCCGUAGCUGGUCUGAGAGGAUGAUCAGCCACACUGGAACUGAGACACGGUCCAGACUCCGUACGGGAGGCAGCAGUGGGAAUAUUGGAACAAGUGGGCGCGAAGCCUGAUCCGAGCCAUACCCGGCGUGGGUAGAAAGAACGGCCGUUUCGGGUUACGUUAAACGUCCCGUUUUUAGGUUACGGGUAAAG